rnacentral:snRNA from 1 species
GUUGGGCAGCACAAAUAUGUACUAAAAUUGGAAUGAUGCAGGGAUUAGCAUGGUCCCUGUGCAAGGAUGAAAUGCAAAUUCGUGAAGCGCCCCAUGUUUUU